UCUGUAGGCGGUGCGGCAAGUCGGGAGUGAAAUCUCGGGGCUUAACUCCGAGUCUGCUUCCGAAACUGCCGUGCUCGAGUGCGGGAGAGGUGAGUGGAAUUGCAGGUGUAGCGGUGAAAUGCGUAGAUAUCUGCAGGAACACCAGAGGCGAAGGCGGCUCACUGGACCGCAACUGACGCUGAGAGACGAAAGCUAGGGGAGCAAACAGGAUUAGAUACCCUGGUAGUCCUAGCCCUAAACCAUCAGGACUUGGCGUGGGUCCCGUUCGGGGCCCGUGUCGGAGCUAACGUGUGAAGUCCUGCGCCUGGGGAGUACGGUCGCAAGGCUGGAA
rnacentral:rRNA from 1 species